rnacentral:lncRNA from 1 species
AAAACUCUAACCAACGAUAAGAAAGAAAUAAACCUUCACCCGUGAUCCUUGCAGUCCAUUCGGGGGUUCAGCACUGGACUUGAUCGAGAACAAUCAGUUCCAAGAUGCAGGUUUCGGCAUAGACGAUGAUUUUCCAAAAAGCGAAAUGAAUUUUUUGUACCUUGUCUCAUACUGAGUUACUUUUUCACAUGAUUUUUGCU